CCUACGGGAGGCAGCAGUGAGGAAUAUUGGUCAAUGGGCGUAAGCCUGAACCAGCCAAGUCGCGUGAGGGAUGAAGGUUCUAUGGAUCGUAAACCUCUUUUAUAAGGGAAUAAAGUGCGGGACGUGUCCCGUUUUGUAUGUACCUUAUGAAUAAGGAUCGGCUAACUCCGUGCCAGCAGCCGCGGUAAUACGGAGGAUCCGAGCGUUAUCCGGAUUUAUUGGGUUUAAAGGGAGCGUAGAUGGGUUGUUAAGUCAGUUGUGAAAGUUUGCGGCUCAACCCCGGCGAGCCGUUGAAACUGGCUGUCUUGAGAUGUCGAGAGGUAUGCGGAAUGCGCAGUGUAGCGGUGAAAUGCUUAGAUAUUGCGCAGAACUCCGAUUGCGAAGGCAGCAUACCGGCGGCGAUCUGACGCUGAGGCACGAAAGCGUGGGUAUCGAACAGGAUUAGAUACCCGGGUAGUC
rnacentral:rRNA from 1 species